UCCAGGUCUUCCACCACUACCACCACUUCCGAUGAUCCAAAUCCCGGGGCUUCCACCAUUGCCAACAAUUUCAACUAUCCAAAUUCCAGGUCUGCCAUCCUUGCCACAGCUACCGUCAAUUGUUGUCGGUCAAGGAUCACCAGCAGGACCAGUUCCACCGUUGAUGCCUUCUCCUAGUGUCGCUCCUCCAUCAUCUCCUGGUGCCUCACCCUAAUUUAUGGCAAGUUCAAGCUGGAUGCUGAUUAGGAGCCAUCAAGAUGAAGAUUAGGAUUUUGACCCCACAUAUAUACUCUAGUACAUGAGUAAAUGCUGCCUAGUUUUGUGUUAGUUUUACUCAUCAGGACAUUCUAAAUUAGCGUGGUGAUUAGGUCUAGCAUGGUAAUUAGGUCUAGAGAUAUAUUAUAUAUGCAAAGUUUUAUUAUUUUUCUACAUAGUCGGCUUGGUUACAAUAUUGUACACUAUAUACUUGGAUGUGAUUAUUACUCACUCUCUCAUUGAAAGAAUAUUUUAU